rnacentral:misc_RNA from 1 species
GGCGCAUCCCACCGACUCGAAGCCUCGCGCAGUCGCGCACGCACACCGCAGUGAUCGCUCGGACGCCGACCGCGUCGCACGUACCGUAUGUAGCAGCAUACCAUCCGACCUGACCCCGAGUGACCCCAAAAAGUGCACGGCGGCCGACACGAACGAAACGAAUCCGCGACCAUUCCGCGCAUAACUUAAAAUUAAUAAACUUAAACAUUAAUAUCGAACUAACCGCUUUGCAAUAACAUAUGUGAGCUUCAUUAAUUAGCGAAUUAACAUAUAAGGUGAUAAUCUAAAGACUGCGAGUGACGGAGCGCCAAGUUAAAUGUGUUAGGCGCAGGACCGGCGGACAGUAUGUCUGAGGGCGACGUGUCGCUCGUCCGCGACGAGGACGUGCUGCGGCGGAUGUGGCAGCAGACGGAGGACUUUUCCCGCAAGAAGGAGAUCCGCGCGCACAUGUACCGGCUGCGCGAGGAGCGCCUGCGCGACCUGUACUCGCCCGAGCCCGGCGCGGACGCUAAAGGUUGUGAGUUUACAACACAAGCCCACGUGAAAUCGUUUGCCGACCAGAACUUCCAAUCGAUGAAAAGCAAGGAGGUCCGCGAUGCGAGCUCCCCGACCAAGGAGUUCUCUUACCGCGGCCAAGAUCUCAAGGACCUUUCCAACGCUGGCUGGAAUGUGGAAUCUGAGAACAGAACUACCGACGAUGGCCACACUCAAGUGAAGUCGGUCCACGCUAACAUAGAGGGUAGAUACGACGUCGACGGUGGUCAAGGGCAGUUCGCCGCCGUAGACUACAACAAACAAGCCACGACCGAUUACGACGAUGGAAAAACUAGCCUCAAACGUAACGAGAACGUUUCUAACACCGCAGCUCACGAGCAAGUCGUGCGCAAGACUAAAGACGGAGUGCAUUCCUCAUCGACGACGAGUUCUUCUACCUCUACAUCGAAAUUCGAGCAAGUUUCUUCUACUCGCGAAGCCGUGCCAUAUCUAUCCAAUGAUGAUUAUGACUCAUCUUUACGCAAGACUUACGAUACCAAUCGCAAUGAUGAAGUCGCUUCCGAGAGAUUUACAAAACAGAGUACUAGUGAACGUGAACAAAACUCAAGAACUGAUAUAAAUCAAGGGGAACUGGUCUCCAGGAAAGUUGAUUAUCCAGAUGACAAUACAAAAGUUAUAGUAGAAACUAGGUGUUUGCCAGACGGCACAAGAGUAACUAGCACGCGCCGAGAGUUCCGAGCUCCUUCAGUUCAAACGAGCCGUUCAGAACAACAUUCUCAUCAAACAAGGACGGAGAAUAAAUCUUAUGAAACGUCACAAAAAAAGUCGCACGUAAAUGAGACUACUUCAAAAACUAUUCGCGAGUCAAUCAAUGACAGAAACAAUAUUGUAGAUUCCCAAAAGAUUAUUGACGACCAUGAUUUCAAACGCAACCAAAUUAAUUCUGAAAAUAAAUUCGAUGAUUACAAUCAAAAUAUUGAUCAAUAUAAAAAUCAAAGAAGAGUGGAUUCUCACGUCACUAUUGAUAAUUACGACUACAAAACAAAUAGGGAUCAUUCAAUAAAUAAAAAUGAUGAUUAUAAACAAAACACUAAUCAAUAUAAAGAACAGCGGAAACAUGAUACAAAUUUUAAUGAAACUAACCGUAGAGAGGUAAUUACUAAAAAUAAUGACGAGAACAUUAUUAAACAUAGCGACAUCAAUGAGACUCGUACGAAAAAAAGUAUUGAUGAAUAUGUAACUCGUGAAAAUUUUGUAGAAAAGAUAACAAAUACUGAUCAAUAUCACUCUACAUACCAGACAGAUUUUACUCAAAGAAAAAUAAGCAAUGAUCUGAGUCCUGCUCACCAAGCAUGGGCAAGUACUCUGCGUUCUGAUACUCCAACGAGACCUUCAACAAGAGCUUCUUCACCUGGAAGUAAAACUUUUAAAUCAAGCACAUCUUCUUUAAGAAGUAGUGUGAGCCCUGAUAAAACUUAUAAGAAACCAUCAAGUCGAGGCGAAAGCCCUGAUAAAAUUCACAGAAAACCUUCUAGUCGAGAGACAAGUCCUGAUAAAACUUUCAGAAAACCCUCUAGCCGUGGUGGUAGUCCGGAUAAAAUUUAUAAAAAACCAUCAAGCCCAGAGACAAGCUCUGAUAAAACUUACAGAAAAACGUCUAGUAGAGGAGAAAGCCCCGAUAAAAUUCUCAGACAACCGACAAGCCGAGAAACAAGUCCUGAUAAAUUUUACAGAAAACCUUCGAGCCGAGGAGUAAGCCCGAGCAAAAUUGAAAGAGAUUCUCUUUCUCACAGUAUUGUGUCCGAUAAAUAUACGAGUACUCAAACGAAUACUUUAAUUACGGAAAUAAAGACAAACUCAUACAAUAGUUCUGAAGAGCGUCCACAAGAAAACCGUCGGCCAAGACUGAGUAAGAGCCCAGAAAAACCAUUGAACCGUUCCAGGCCAAGUUCUAGUCCAGAUAAAAAAAACAAUAAUAAAUUUAUUAAUGACAGGCCAUGCUCGCCAACCAAAAUUAUUGAAAAAACAAUAUCUCCUCAGAGAUGGAACUCUAGUCCAUUGGACGGAAGACCGACAGAUACGACUUCCGCUCCACGUUCAACGUCGCCAAAACAACAAAGCCCUGAUCGAAAAAAACCGGAAUCACAGCAUAAAAAGCCGGAUAAUGAAUCUCAUAGAGUCUCAAGUCCAGAGCACAAAUACCCCAAAUCUAUAUCUCCAACCAGGAGUUCAACCGAACCCCUUCAAAAAUAUUCUCAGAGCCCAUCGCCUAUUAAAAAUGUAAGCCAAGAGCCAGAAGAAACAGUUUAUAAUGAACCUGGUUAUAUGAGACCAACUGCUACAAGCAAACCGAGAAGGAGUGAAACAUCACCUACGAAACACAUACCUUUUAAAAGCCCCGAACGCGAAACUUCCAAAAGCAUUAACAAAAUUUCAGACCAACAUUACAAACUUAUUGAUGAAGAAACUAAAAUGUAUACUCGUAAUGACAAUACGCUAGUUCAUGUCAUCCAAAAUGUAAGCAGUGAUGAAGUAAUAACUGAAACUAUUCCAAAUAAACAUAAUAUAUCUGACUCAGAACAAUUACCACGACAUCAUUCACCAAGUCCUGAUGUUUACCCUAAAAAAUCUCCCUCUUCUCCAACGAAGACAAGUCCAGUAAAAGAAAGAAAUUACGAUGAAGACCUACCAGCAUCUAAAAAAUCACCAACUAGAAAUAUUUCAUCGAACUAUAAAAGCCCUAAUAAAGAUGAUUCACCACAAAAAAGUCAAUCUUCAAGUAGGAGUAAAUCGCCUAAAUCAGUUUCUACGAACCGUUACAGCCCAAUAAAAGAUGAUCAACCUAUUUUAAUAGAUAAUAAUGACAAGAAACUUCAAGACCGAGAAAGGUCACCCUUUAAAGACUCUCCUCAUAAAGUUGAACUUAAAAAUAGAUCUAAUGAUGAUAAACAGAUCAUUUCCAAAACUACAAAUAUUCCCGAUUUUAACCUUUCUCCUGAACAGUUAAACAAACAGACUGUUAAAGAACCAUCACCAUCCAAAUUUGGAACUUAUGAUGUAAAACAAAGAACAUUCAAAGAAGAAGUUAAACAAGCCAAUGAAGUUACUAAAACUUCUAAUGUUGAAGCUCAUCCAGUUCCACCUAAAACAAGACCUUCGCAGAAACUUGCAAGUAAAUCUCCAAGAAAUAGUACUUCACCAGUCAAAAUUUCUGCAAGGGAUACGUCAUACAAGCAGACGUCUGAUUUUAUAAACACAGAAAAAACUACUGAAGGAAUUAAUAAAACAACUCAAAAAGAACGACCAAGACAAUUAAUCACUCCAUCUACUAGUCCAACUAGAAAACCUAAAAAUGAACAACCUCCAUCAUCCGGACAAAGUUCACCAACUACUUCUGUUAGUGGUUUCGUUUACUAUCGGUCAUCCGUAGAUGAUAAAACAAUAGUAACAGACUUGGAUGAACAAGAUUUUAACAUUGAACUAAAAAAAAUUACAACCCAUGAACAACCUAUGGAUGAUGGAAAUAAUAAAGAUUGGCCUUCUUCAAAAAUACCAUGCAGAUCGCCAUCACCAGAAAAGCGUUCUACAAAAGAGACACUUCCUAGAAAAAGUUCUUUAAAAAAAUCUUCAAUUACUCAAAUAUCACCCACGGAAAAACCUCCUUCAAGUUUCAUGAUAUCGCCAAGUGUAGAAACUAAAGAUUUUACUGAACAUAAAGUCCAAAUAAAUGAUCAUCUCGAUAAAGAAAAAGACAAACCAGUGAAAACAAAGCCACCCUUUGAACGACGUGAAACGUAUGAAGAAAGAUGUCGUAAAAUCUUAGGCAUGAUUGUUACUGAUACUACUGAAACAGAAUCUGUGACAAAGAAAAAUUUAUCAAAUACCAAAACUGUGGAAACUGUUAGUUCACCAAGUGUCUCGCCUUGCAGAAGUCCUUCACCAGGCCGAGACUUGUUAUCUAACAAAUCUUUAAUAAAUGAAUCUGAGAAUAAGGAAAAAACGACGGUUAGCUUAAGUAUCAUCACUGAUACUUCAAAGAAAACUAAAUCUCCAUCUAGAGAUGCAUCCCCUACAAAACUGCAAGAUAUUACAUCAAUAACUAAUGAUGAUCAAUAUAACACUGAUUACUUUUCAGAUAAAACUUUCACUGAAGACAAUACAAAAUGUUCACUGUCACGCGAAACAAUUAAAAACAAAUGUAUUCAGGAACCUACUGAUCAGAAGACAAAGUUACCUACAUCAGAUUUUAGGUCUGAAAGUAAUACUGUUAAGAAUAAGUAUACUCCGACCUCCUUCACAAAUGAGCUUCAUGAUCAACAACCGAUAAAACCUUCCGUAGACACUAAAUCUGAAAUCUCGACGAAACAACCACUAGAACACAAAGACGGUCCUGUUCGUACAGCACAUAAAAUAUAUAGUAAACCAACAAUUAUUGCAGCCAAAUCAAACCGGUCACCCAGUCCAACUAAAAAACAAAUGACACCUAAUGUGUCUUAUAUAAAGUCUGAAAUCACUGAAACUGACCAUGAAACCAGUGUAAAAAAUAUUAUAAAUGUUAUUGAAGAUGAAACAGAUUAUGUACCAACAGUAAAAUCAACAUGCAAAAUUCCUGUAGGAAAAGCUAGUCCUAUAAAAAACACCGAAACAAAGAUUUAUAAUAAUACAGUGUUGACUAAAAAAUCAGAAUUGAACACUGAAUUUAUUAUUUCUGAAAAAGAAACAGAAGAAUCAGAUAGAGAACAAAAAUUACCAAGGAAUCUAUCUCCAAGCAGCUAUGAAAAAUCUCCAAUUAAAGAAAAACAUCAAAUAAAAUCGGUUAGUAUGCCUUAUGAAGAAAUAGUUUUAGAAAGUAUGAAUAAUCAUACGACUAAGGACAUUAAAAUUGAAAAUGAUGAUACUACUUAUAUUGAAAAAAAUGAUAGAGUUAAAGAUCAGAAAAUAACUAGCAGACCACCAUCAAGAAAUGUUUCACCUACAAAAAAAGUAUCCAAUGUGUCUCCAGCACCAUCUAGAAGUAUAUCUCCUAAAAAACCGCAAUCACCAAUUGAGAGGCCACAAUCUCCGCAGGUAACCAAAAUAAGUGGCUUAAAACCUAGAGAACCGGUGUCUUCUAAUAUACGUAAACCUUCAGCGAAUGCAACAUCACCGACAAAAAUAGAUAAAACUUCCACCAAUGAUGUGAAAAAGCUGAACACUAUCAUAAAACAAUCUAGUUUAACAAAAACAACAUCAAAUAAAAUUGCCACAAAUAAAAUUACUCAUGCAAGUGUCAACAAAAUUUUAGAUCACGAGCCUAAAAAGACAGCUUCACUAAAAACCUCUAAAGAUAAUGUGAAAAAAGACGUAGAAAUAAAGGUCACGCGAACGACUAGUGAUACUACUUUGAAAACUAAAAAGUCUUCACCUCAAAGAAAUAGAUCUAAACCUGAAAUUCAAGUCAACGAUAAAGCAACUAAACAACCAUCUUUAACAAACAAAUAUCACAAAAUUUUACCUAAAGAAUCACAUACAAAAUUGCCAACAAGCAAACCUAAAUCUGCUACUGCUCUUAAUACAUCCACUGAUGAAGACGAUGUAAUAAUUGAUGUUCAGCAAGCAAAAUCAUCCCGUGAAAAUUCACCAGAUCGCAUAUGUCCAACACCAGUCGGAUUUUUAGAUGAUGUUGGUACACCUAGGUUCCCUGAUGAAGUUAAUGAACCCGACGAUGAACUGCAUAGUCGAACACAUCAGACAAUACAUGAAACAGAGUCUAUAGUAGAUGACAUUGUGGAAAUAUGUGAGGAUGAUGAACUAUUUGUUAAAAGAACUAAUACAGAUAAUUUAAAAUAUACCGAUGAAAUUUAUGAUUUAAAUGAUAAAAUAUCUAAAUUUGAUAUUAAAAUAGGUAAAAAUAUCAAAACAAAAGACACGAGCACUCGAUUUAAAGACACUGAAAUAAAAGUACAUUCAGAUUUAAUAGACGAAAAUUUAAAAUCAGACCAAUGCUUGCUCUCAGUCUCGGAAAAAGUUAACAAGUUUGCUAAAGGGCCGAUUGAUGCAAAAGAUAGAAGUCCUUCUCGUAAUAUUGUGGAAGAGUAUGAUAAGCAUUCUACUUUCCAGGAUGACUACACAAAAUUAAGCGUCAAUGAUAAAGCUCAUUUAUUUAUUGAAACAGCUGAAAAUAUAAAAACCACUAAUAAAACAAAGCCUGCCCAAAGGAUUGAGCGUCCUGAUUUAAGCAGUGUAGAUGACGCUUUGAAAAGCGAUGAUUGUUUGCUCAGUGUUUCAGAUAAGGUAAAUAAAUUUGUAAAAACUGCAGAACAGUUUUUAAAUGAAACCAUUGAAAGCGAAGAGAAGGAAAAAAGAAUAAAAGAGCAACAUGAAAAAAUAAUGAGGAAAAUUGUAGACAGUCAGGACGAUAAUAUAAAAAUUGAGCGCCUGAACAAUAAUAUAGAAGAACAUGACGAUACGCUUGAAGCUAAGUCUAACAUACAUUUAAGACAAAACUCCUUUGCAAAAGAGACUGCAUCAUCUAGUGCAAAAAUAAAGGAUCCGGUCAACCCCGAUAUAAGGCUUAUUGACAAAACAUCAACUGUUAAAGUAACUACUUUGCGCAGUAGUGAUGCAGUAAAAAAAGCCAAGGCUUUGUUUGAAAAUAUUGCUUCUACGACAACUCCUAAAAUAAAAGAACAACCGCAUAGUAAAACUCUAAAAACACCUGAUACAAGUUCCCUAAAGAAAACUUCCGCAAAUGCUCGGCAACCUUCUUCUGAAUACGAAGUCCCAAAAUAUGAAGAUCUAAAACAUAUUACUUCAGAAAAAGUUAUUUUAAAAGAGUCUAUUUCAGAAACCGUUGACAUAGGGGCUAAUCAAAAGGAGAAAAUUCAAAACAGUCCUGCUCGUAAAAGGCCACAGUCACCUGAAACUAUUAGACCAAGUUCCCCCUUAUAUAAAACAAAGGAAAAAUCUUCCUCUACAAUAACCACGAUCACUGCUUUAACUGAAGUACCACAUCAAGUGCGUCCAAGCCAUGAGAAAUCUGAAAAUCUGCACGACAAGGUGCCGGGGUAUCAAAGACCUACAAAAACCAGUCAACUAAAGGAAGAAAAUAAAGUCAUAGAGGAAACUGAUGUAAGUAGUAGACGUGGCAGCGGAAAGUUUGGCAUUGAACUCCGCAGGACAAGUAUAGAGAGAUCAACAGCGAGCAAUGAACGCCGACGCAGUAGUGUCGAGCACUAUCAACCCUGCAUUGAAGAUAUUUUUGACCUAGACCUCCUAGAACAAAUGUUGGAAAAGGUCGUGGGCUAUGAGCAGCGGAGGCGUAUAAGAGCACAGAUGCGUGUGGCAAAAAAGAAAAUAGAGAGUGAACAUGUUACAAAAACUAAACAAAUUGUUACUAAAACCACCAAAACUCGAUCACCUGAACGUCAAAGCCAACACAAGUCACCUGAACGCAAGCCUGCAAAUCAAAAACCAUAUUCCCCUGAAAGACAAGUCAAGCAAGCUCCACAAAAGGCAGCUACUCCAGACUAUAGCGGGAAACAAUCGCUAUCAAUGCCUUUGACAUCAGAACUCGCUCAUCCAAAAGAAGAUAAGUCAAUGUUAAAUGGACAUGAUAUAGACACUUUGCACUAUAAGGAUGUUAGAUCACACAGUCCUUCUAAAUUAGCACCAAAAACACCUGCUAAGUCUAAAAGUCCCCUACAGCCAUCUAGCCUUGAUAAAAAAACCAGACCUGUUUCACCUUCAAAGACUACUACGCCGAAACCGAAAACUAAUCGUUUUAGCGAGUACGCUUCUGCUUACAUGAAGAAAGUUGGACUUAAUGAAAACGAUAAAAAUUGCAUUUCAGAUGUAAAAGUAAAAAAGACAUCUGCAGACCAGCACAAACUUAAAAAGAUGGAUACCCAUCAUUCCGUGGAAACAAAAUAUUCGAAAACGGUAUCAAAAAAUGUGACAGAACGAAAAUCUUCAAAGGAUACUGUUGAAACAAUCCACAUCAAUGGUAAAAGGUCUCAAUCACCUCAAAAAAUUAUAUCUGAAAGUCAAAGUCCAGUUCUCCAAAGAAAGGUUGACUUGGAUAACAAUAAGUACAGUUCUGAUCGAACACACAGCCCCAAUAGAAAACCACACGUCCCGGAAACGAUUGUUCACCAACCCGAUCAUAAGAGUCCUGAACGUAAAGCUUAUGUUACAGAGCGUAAAGCUCAUAGUCCAGAUCGCAAAACUCACAGUCCAGAUCGCAAAACUCACAGUCUAGAUCGCAAAACUCUCAGUCCAGAUCGCAAAACUCACAGUCCAGAUCGCAAAGCCCACAUUAUAGAUCGCAAAACUCACAGUCCAGAUCGAAAAUCCCACAUUACAGAUCAAAGCCCUGAACGUAACGUUCAAUCUGCUGAUCUUAGAACACAGAGCCCAGCUGGACUACGUAAGCUUGAUCGCCCUGACCUUAAUCGUCAGAAGUCUGACACAACCAAAACCAAAAAGGAAACUAUUAUAAAAACUGUUUACGAAAUUGAGAAUAAGAUACCCCCAAAACAAAAACAGGAGGAGAAACCUUCGUGGGUCACGAACAGGAACUUGAAAAAGAUAACAUCUGAGACGCGCACUUUCAGCACAAAGAAAAUCGAGUCUGAAAAACCUAAAUAUCGUUCAACGAGUCCAUCUAAAAUUAUUUCAAAGCCUCUCGAUGUAAUUACGUCUAGCUACGGGCCCGGACCUCUGGAUGCAGACGGUAGACCUUUGUUUGGUAUCAAGGCUUUGAGAAAUGGGGCAUCGAAUUACCAAGUGAAAGGCACCGUUAUUCGCCAAGAGUUCCACUCGCGGAACGGCAGCGAGCCCGAAGGCACCGUCUCGGUGACGGCGUACUCCACGGAGCCUCAGGACUUGGAGAAACUCCUCCAGACUCAAGGGGAGAAGCCCUCGAGGUUCCUGCACGGCUUGGCGGCGAUCACCACGACCAAGAAAUUCGGCGGAGACACUGGUACCACACUAAGCGCAGUUAAUAACAAAGAAGAACGCGCCGCACUAGAUCAGUUCACACAGAGCAACCGCCGAAUAACCGAGAGCAGAAUCACCAGCGGAACCAGCAGCGUCGACAGAAGAGAACAGAAGUACACACAGGAACAGAACGUAGACAUAGCCGAGCCUGAUUUAGAAGAGGCACAGAAUAUAACGGAACGUAUCACUGAAAUUGUUGAAAACACUGAUCAUUUAGACGGAAGGGAUAACGAGAGACGUGUCUUGAAGGACAGAAAAGCUGAAGCGAAAGACAACAAACAAAACAAGAAAGUGCAAGAGAAGUCCGAAAGGAGAGUGGAAAUGGAGACCGUGAAAAGGAGAGGAAAUGAAAAUUCGGAAAAGAUGGACAAACGAGUGGACGAUCGAAAAACAGUCAGACAAAGUUCUGUGAAAUCCCUUACGGAGAAAUACAUAAAGAGUGCUAGCGAGACAUCGAAGACAGACCGCGCGACGUACCCCAAGGCCGGUCUGAUCCUGCGCACCUCCACCAUGAAAGACAGCGUCUCUAGCGACUCCUCCACUCAUGCUGGUCUGGCCCGCACGGACAGCGAGCACAGCCUCGCGUCGGUGGACGACGUGGUGACCACGACCACGGAGCAAGUGAACGACGGAGUACGCACCACCACCACGACCACGGAGCGAGUGGACGGCGGCGUGCGCACCACCACCACCAGCUCGCGCACCCAGGGCCGCAUGCAGGAGCGCUCCUUCCUCGACAGCUCCACCAAGGUCACCGGCGUGCAGGACAUUCUGACGAGGAUGAAGAAUGCUGACAUAGUGAUCGAGGACGGCGACAGCAGCGCCGACACGGAGGCGCGCGCGCUGCUCAACAAGUUCUUGGGCGCCACCGUGCUGAUGGCCGGCAUGCAGAGCUACGUCACCGAGAAGCCCACCGGGAAGGUGCUCGUCAAGCAGGAGACGGUCCAGACCAGCGGCGGAAAGACCACCAGCAGCCGCCACAUCGAGGAGUUUGACAUCGAGCAGUGCUGGGACGAGCGCGUGCUGCGCAAGCUUAGGAAGAGGAAAUGACGACUGUAACAUCGAGCGUGAGGAGGAACUCGACCGAGAACACCAUUAGCAGUAGCACCACCAUCAAAAAUACUAAAGUGAUCGAGAGCAUGACCAGGCCGGCGCCGAAACCAGUUUCGCCGUUCGCCAAAUUCCGUCAGCUCGAAAAGCAAAACUCUACUAACUCUCCC